rnacentral:rRNA from 1 species
UGGGGAAUAUUGGACAAUGGGCGCAAGCCUGAUCCAGCAAUGCCGCGUGUGUGAAGAAGGCCUUCGGGUUGUAAAGCACUUUUAUCAGGAGCGAAAUCUGCAUGCUUAAUACGUGUGCAGUCUGACGGUACCUGAGGACUAAGCACCGGCUAACUUCGUGCCAGCAGCCGCGGUAAUACGAAGGGUGCAAGCGUUAAUCGGAAUUACUGGGCGUAAAGGGUGCGUAGGCGGUUCGUUAAGUCUGUCGUGAAAUCCCCGGGCUCAACCUGGGAAGGGCGAUGGAUAUUGGCGAGCUAGAGUGUGGCAGAGGAUGGUGGAAUUGCCAGUGUGGCGGUGAAAUGCGUAGAGAUCGGGAGGAACAUCAGUGGCGAAG